rnacentral:rRNA from 1 species
UACGUAGGGGGCUAGCGUUGUCCGGAAUCAUUGGGCGUAAAGCGCGUGUAGGCGGCUCGGUAAGUCCGCUCUGAAAGUCCAGGGCUCAACCCUGGGAUGCGGGUGGAUACUGCCGGGCUCGAGUCCGGAAGAGGCGAGUGGAAUUCCCGGUGUAGCGGUGAAAUGCGCAGAUAUCGGGAGGAACACCAAUGGCGAAGGCAGCUCGCUGGGACGUGACUGACGCUGAGACGCGAAAACGUGGGGAGCAAACAGG